GAUGAACGCUGGCGGCGUGCCUAACACAUGCAAGUCGAGCGGAGAAUGCAGCAAUGUAUUCUUAGCGGCGGACGGGUGAGUAACGCGUGGGCAACCUGCCUCAAACUGGGGGAUAACACUGGGAAACUAGUGCUAAUACCGCAUAACGUCAUUGGAUGGCAUCUUCCGAUGACCAAAGGAGUAAUCCGGUAUGAGAUGGGCCCGCGUCCGAUUAGCUAGUUGGUGAGGUAAUGGCCCACCAAGGCGACGAUCGGUAGCCGAACUGAGAGGUUGAUCGGCCACAUUGGGACUGAGACACGGCCCAGACUCCUACGGGAGGCAG
rnacentral:rRNA from 1 species